GAGUUUGAUCUUGGCUCAGAUUGAACGCUGGCGGCAUGCCUUACACAUGCAAGUCGAACGGCAGCACGGGAGCUUGCUCCUGGUGGCGAGUGGCGAACGGGUGAGUUAUGCAUCGGAACGUAUCCUGGAGUGGGGGAUAACGUAGCGAAAGUUACGCUAAUACCGCAUAUUCUGUGAGCAGGAAAGCGGGGGACCUUCGGGCCUCGCGCUCUUGGAGCGGCCGAUGUCGGAUUAGCUAGUUGGUGAGGUAAAGGCUCACCAAGGCGACGAUCCGUAGCAGGUCUGAGAGGAUGAUCUGCCACACUGGAACUGAGACACGGUCAGACUCCUACGGGAGCAGCAGUGGGAAUUUUGGACAAUGGGGGCAACCCUGAUCCAGCCAUGCCGCGUGAGUGAAGAAGGCC
rnacentral:rRNA from 1 species